CCCUAUGUUGUAAAACCACGUUGCCUCGGGGGUGACCCGGCCUCGGUCGGCGCCCCCGGUGGACCACUCAACUCUGCAUCUGAGCGUCUGAGUCAAUUUGUUAAUCAAAUUAAAACUUUCAACAACGGAUCUCCUGGUUCUGGCAUCGAUGAAGAACGCAGCGAAAUGCGAUAAGUAAUGUGAAUUGCAGAAUUCAGUGAAUCAUCGAACCUUUGAACGCACAUUGCGCCCUUUGGUAUUCCUUAGGGCACACCUGUUCGAGCGUCAUUACACCACUCAAGCCUAGCUUGGUAUUGGGCGUCGCGGUUCCGCGCGCCUUAAAGUCUCCGGCUGAGCAGUUCGUCUCUAAGCGUUGUGGCAUAUAUUUCGCUGAAGAGUUCGGACGGCUUUUGGCCGUUAAAUCUUUUACAAGGUUGACCUCGGAUCAGGUGGG
rnacentral:rRNA from 1 species